rnacentral:rRNA from 1 species
CUGAGUAAGGGCGUGUGGUGGAUGCCUAGACUGAAGAAGGCGAUGAAGGACGUGGUUUAGCUGCGAUAUGCUUCG